GAUUCCCUGAGUAACGGCGAGCGAAAGGGGAAAUGUCCAGCGCCAAGUCUUGACAUCUAUGGUGUUCAAGAGAUGCGGCGUUAAUGUCUCGUAGCAUCAUACAUUGUUUUAGAUUUCAAGUUCCCACGACCGGGACUUCCAGAGCGGGUGUUAGGCCCAUAGAGAUCCAGAACCAGUGUAUGCUUACGAAACAUUCUAGAGUCAGGUUGCUUGAGAGUGCAGCUUAAAGUCGGUGGUAAACUCCAUCUAAGACUAAAUACUACAGCGAGACCGAUAGCAAACAAGUACCGUGAGGGAAAGUUGAAAAGCACUUUGAAGAGAGAGUUCAAAAGUACGUGAAACCACUUGCAGGCAAACAGAUGGAACCACGAAGUGUGCGCCUCGGUCGAUUCAAUCAUCACCGUUGGUCAUUUAUUUCAAGCUAGAAACUUUUCGGAGUUUAGCUUGAAAUAAAUCCCGAUCGAUGGUGGUGAUGCAUUUCGUGCCGGGGAUGCUAAGCCACGUUCAACCAGAUUGCUGGGACGGCCGUAAGACAGAAUUGGAAAAAGGUAACCGUCGGRUGCUUGCAUCCGAUGGCGUUAUAGUUUCCGAUUGGCACCGUCGCCUAGAAUGCUGGUUGAUAAAAUUUCUCCGAAAGGAGUCUAGCCAUGUCGGCCUGUGGUUGCUAGUCGGUGUUGCGGAACGUUCUUUGCGUAUCUUUCGAUGCGAAAAGGCGUUCCAAAGAUGCCGGCUAGUGGCUACUUGCCAGUCAUGGCGGAACUGUGGCGCGAGUAGGUCGGUUUCCAUCUGACCCGUCUUGAAACACGGACCAAGGAGCCUAUCAUAUACGCGAGUCGCUCGGUCUUGUUUAGGCCUGAGAGGCGUAAUGAAAGUAAAAUUACGAGGCUUCGGUCGCAGUAAUGGCUCGCCUACUUCGUUUUUUUGGCGAUAUGGCGAAGCUGGAGCGUAUACGAUGGUACCCGAAAGAUGGUGAACUAUGCCUGGGCAAGACGAAGCCAGAGGAAACUCUGGUGGAGGUCUGUAGCGAUUCUGACGUGCAAAUCGAUCGUCAGACCUGGGUAUAGGGGCGAAAGACUAAUCGAACCAUCUAGUAGCUGGUUCCCUCCGAAGUUUCCCUCAGGAUAGCAGGCGCUUAGACUUUUAAAUUUAAAACAGUCUCAUCCGGUAAAGCUAAUGAUUAGAGGUCUUGGGGUUGAAACGACCUCAACCUAUUCUCAAACUUUAAAUGGGUGAGAUGGUUGACUUGCUUGAUUGAAGCCAACCAUUUGGAUGCAAGUGCCUAGUGGGCCAUUUUUGGUAAGCAGAACUGGCGCUGUGGGAUGAACCAAACGUCGAGAUAAGGCAUCAAAUGCGUACGCUCAUCAGACCCCAUGAAAGGUGUUGGUUGCUAUAGACAGCAGGACGGUGGCCAUGGAAGUCGGAAUCC
rnacentral:rRNA from 1 species